ACACCUCUUACUGUCAGGAAGUUCUUCCUAAUGUUUAGCAGAUUCUGACUAAACAUCAGGAAGGACUUUCUGACAAUAAGAGCUGC